CAGUCGCCGCGGUAAUCCGAAGGGUGCAAGCGUUACUCGGAAUUACUGGGUGUAAAGCGUGCGUAGGUGGUGGUUUAAGUCCGUUGUGAAAGCCCUGGGCUCAACCUGGGAAUUGCAGUGGAUACUGGAUCACUAGAGUGUGGUAGAGGAUAGUGGAAUUUCCGGUGUAGCAGUGAAAUGCGUGGAGAUCAAGAGGAACACUCGUGGCGAAAGCGAGCUACUGGACAAUAUCUGACGCUGAGGCUCGAAGGCCAGGGUAGCGAAAGGGAUUAGAUACCCCUGUAGUCCCUGUCUCUUAUAC
rnacentral:rRNA from 1 species